AUUGAACGCUGGCGGCAGGCUUAACACAUGCAAGUCGAGCGAGCGGCGGACGGGUGAGUAGUGUCUGGGAAACUGCCUGAUGGAGGGGGAUAACUACUGGAAACCGUAGCUAAUGCCGCAUACCAUCAGAUGUGCCCAGAGGGGAUUAGCUAGUCGGUGGGGUAAUGGCUCACCGAGGCGACGAGCCCUAGCUGGUCUGAGAGGAUGACCAGCCACACUGGAACUGAGACACGGCCCAGACUCCUACGGGAGGCAGCAGUGGGGAAUAUUGGACAAUGGGCGAAAGCCUGAUGCAGCCAUGCCGCGUGUGUGAAGAAGGCCUUCGGGUUGUAAAGCACUUUCAGCGGGGAGGCGUUACCCGCAGAAGAAGCACCGGCUAACUCCGUGCCAGCAGCCGCGGUAAUUC
rnacentral:rRNA from 1 species